rnacentral:tRNA from 1 species
GGUGGCUCAGCGGUAGAGUGCUUGCCUUGCAUGCAUGAGGCCCAAGGUUCAAUUCCUCAGCACCA